UACGUAGGGAGCAAGCGUUGUCCGGAAUCAUUGGGCGUAAAGCGCGCGUAGGCGGCCCCGUAAGUCCGCUGUGAAAGUCAAAGGCUCAACCUUUGAAAGCCGGUGGAUACUGUGGGGCUAGAGUCCGGAAGAGGCGAGUGGAAUUCCUGGUGUAGCGGUGAAAUGCGCAGAUAUCAGGAGGAACACCAAUGGCGAAGGCAGCUCGCUGGGACGGUACUGACGCUGAGACGCAAAGCGUGGGAGCGAACAGG
rnacentral:rRNA from 1 species